rnacentral:rRNA from 1 species
AUUGAACGCUGGCGGCAGGCCUAACACAUGCAAGUCGAACGAGUGGCGGACGGGUGAGUAAGGUCUGGGAAACUGCCUGAUGGAUGGGGAUAACUACUGGAAACGGUAGCUAAUACCGCAUACCAUCAGAUGUGCCCAGAUGGGAUUAGCUAGUUGGUGGGGUAACGGCUCACCAAGGCGGCGAUCCCUAGCUGGUCUGAUAGGAUGACCAGCCACACUGGAACUGAGACACGGUCCAGACUCCUACGGGAGGCAGCAGUGGGGAAUAUUGGACAAUGGGCGAAAGCCUGAUCCAGCCAUGCCGCGUGUGUGAAGAAGGUCUUCGGAUUGUAAAGCACUUUCAUUUGGGAGGCGUUACCAAAAGAAUAAGCACCGGCUAACUUCGUGCCAGCAGCCGCGGUAAUAC